AAUCCAUGAUGUGGGCGCUUUCUUAGCAUCGUUUUGAAUCAUCCCCAUGCCUCGUACAGGAACUCACCUUUGUAUUGUUUGAAAUUUGUAAUUUCUUGUUAGAGCU
rnacentral:snoRNA from 1 species